rnacentral:rRNA from 1 species
GUGCUUGCACUGAAUGAGAUUUUAACACGAAGUGAGUGGCGGACGGGUGAGUAACACGUGGGUAACCUGCCCAGAAGCAGGGGAUAACACCUGGAAACAGAUGCUAAUACCGUAUAACAGAGAAAACCGCCUGGUUUUCUUUUAAAAGAUGGCUCUGCUAUCACUUCUGGAUGGACCCGCGGCGCAUUAGCUAGUUGGUGAGGUAACGGCUCACCAAGGCGAUGAUGCGUAGCCGACCUGAGAGGGUAAUCGGCCACAUUGGGACUGAGACACGGCCCAGACUCCUACGGGAGGCAGCAGUAGGGAAUCUUCCACAAUGGACGCAAGUCUGAUGGAGCAACGCCGCGUGAGUGAAGAAGGGUUUCGGCUCGUAAAGCUCUGUUGUUAAAGAAGAACGUGGGUGAGAGUAACUGUUCACCCAGUGACGGUAUUUAACCAGAAAGCCACGGCUAACUACGUGCCAGCAGCCGCGGUAAUACGUAGGUGGCAAGCGUUAUCCGGAUUUAUUGGGCGUAAAGCGAGCGCAGGCGGUCUUUUAAGUCUAAUGUGAAAGCCUUCGGCUCAACCGAAGAAGUGCAUUGGAAACUGGGAGACUUGAGUGCAGAAGAGGACAGUGGAACUCCAUGUGUAGCGGUGAAAUGCGUAGAUAUAUGGAAGAACACCAGUGGCGAAGGCGGCUGUCUGGUCUGUAACUGACGCUGAGGCUCGAAAGCAUGGGUAGCGAACAGGAUUAGAUACCCUGGUAGUCCAUGCCGUAAACGAUGAUUACUAAGUGUUGGAGGGUUUCCGCCCUUCAGUGCUGCAGCUAACGCAUUAAGUAAUCCGCCUGGGGAGUACGACCGCAAGGUUGAAACUCAAAAGAAUUGACGGGGGCCCGCACAAGCGGUGGAGCAUGUGGUUUAAUUCGAAGCUACGCGAAGAACCUUACCAGGUCUUGACAUCUUCUGCCAACCUAAGAGAUUAGGCGUUCCCUUCGGGGACAGAAUGACAGGUGGUGCAUGGUUGUCGUCAGCUCGUGUCGUGAGAUGUUGGGUUAAGUCCCGCAACGAGCGCAACCCUUAUUACUAGUUGCCAGCAUUCAGUUGGGCACUCUAGUGAGACUGCCGGUGACAAACCGGAGGAAGGUGGGGACGACGUCAAAUCAUCAUGCCCCUUAUGACCUGGGCUACACACGUGCUACAAUGGAUGGUACAACGAGUCGCGAAACCGCGAGGUUUAGCUAAUCUCUUAAAACCAUUCUCAGUUCGGACUGUAGGCUGCAACUCGCCUACACGAAGUCGGAAUCGCUAGUAAUCGCGGAUCAGCAUGCCGCGGUGAAUACGUUCCCGGGCCUUGUACACACCGCCCGUCACACCAUGAGAGUUUGUAACACCCAAAGCCGGUGGGGUAACCUUUUAGGAGCUAGCC